UGGCUCACCAAGGCGUCGACGGGUAGCCGGCCUGAGAGGGUGACCGGCCACACUGGGACUGAGACACGGCCCAGACUCCUACGGGAGGCAGCAGUGGGGAAUAUUGCACAAUGGGCGAAAGCCUGAUGCAGCAACGCCGCGUGAGGGACGACGGCCUUCGGGUUGUAAACCUCUUUUAGCAAGGAAGAAGCGAAAGUGACGGUACUUGCAGAAAAAGCGCCGGCUAACUACGUGCCAGCAGCCGCGGUAAUACGUAGGGCGCAAGCGUUAUCCGGAAUUAUUGGGCGUAAAGAGCUCGUAGGCGGUUUGUCACGUCUGCUGUGAAAACGCGAGGCUCAACCUCGCGCCUGCAGUGGGUACGGGCAGACUAGAGUGCGGUAGGGGAGAUUGGAAUUCCUGGUGUAGCGGUGGAAUGCGCAGAUAUCAGGAGGAACACCGAUGGCGAAGGCAGAUCUCUGGGCCGUAACUGACGCUGAGGAGCGAAAGGGUGGGGAGCAAACAGGCUUAGAUACCC
rnacentral:rRNA from 1 species